GGGGGGUCUCCCAAGGCUUCCUGUCUGUUGUCAUUAAAUGUGUUCUACUUUCUAAAUAUUAACUCCAUCCCCAAAGGCAGGCCUUGACUGAACUAAAACCCAGGAAAAUCCCCUUCCGUACAGUCAGGUCUGAGCCCAUUCCCUCAGGGGACCUUCUAGUUGCUUUGCUUCCCAGAGAGAGGAGGAAGGUCACCUAUUCUUGGCCUGCUGCUGCCUCUUCCUGGGCCCUAGCCAGGACAAAGGUCAAAGGGAUUCUAGGCAUUGGCCCUUUUGAGAUUGUCUUUGCUCCUAGAAGUACCACCAGGUGGUCAUGGGAAAAGGCCUGAAAAGACACUCCUCCCAGGCCGUCCAGACCAGUAGCAGAAAGACCGGACCACAUCACACUUUUCUUGAGCCAGAUUCUGUCCUGUACCGAGCUCUUCAGCUUUCUGGACUGGAAUUGAUUUAAGUUCGUGGUUACAGUACAUUUGGGGACCUAGCAAUUAAUUAGAAGAAAAAAAAUGGCUAGUAUCUUUCAACUACUUCCUGUGUCCCACACCUGGGUUAAAAUGGUACACGAUUGUCAUUAUAUGUAGAUAAUCCUGUUGUGAGCUCAUUUUUAUCAUUCCUCACUUAUAGGUGAAACAGAAGCAGAUUGCUCCCAGAGCUGACCCAAGGGCGGGUCCCAGGAGUAAAAACGGCCAAGUUGGAAUUUGAACUCAGAUACGCCGGACUCCAUAGCCUUUUCCCUCCAGCCUCUGUGCCUUAGCCUGAGGAGGUCGGUCUCUGUUGGUACUGGUUCUCCUGAGAGAUUUGUAACACCAUACUUCAUGACCCAGGGUGAAGGAACUUCCUAUACUGUCCCCACUUCCAAGAAUGAAGACAGCCUU
rnacentral:lncRNA from 1 species